GCCUGGGUGGCUCAGUGGUUGAGCGUCUGCCUUUGGCUCAGGUCAUGAUCCCACAGUCCUGGGAUCGAGUCCCACAUCGGGCU
rnacentral:tRNA from 1 species